UAAAAAAUUUCUGAAUCCGUAAGGGAUAGUCAAAAUCUGAAGUGAGCCAGAUACAUAAGUAUCCCAACCUUAAUUCACAAUUCCCCUUCCUUUUUUUGCUCCUUUAAUCUCUCCCUAAUUUCACUCCACAAUUUAUUAGUUACAAUUUUAAUAGAAAUUUGAUUUUCAAAAGAAUUUUCUCUCCGAUAAAUUCAAUUCAAACAACUCUGAAAAUUCUCUCUCCGGUAAAUUCAAUUCAAACAACUCAAUAGUUCCUCCAUGGUCGUCUUCAUAUGGAUAUGGAUUGUUCUUUCAACUAAACACUUUAAUACAAGAUGAAUAUAUGAUUAUGAUGAUGAUAAACUAAAAACAAAAUCAUUAAUGAUUCACAGUCAAAUAUAUGAUUAUAGUCUUCUUCUAUUGAAAAGUUGCUUCUGUAAUUUUCAGAUUUACAUUAUCCAGGAUGUUUAUAGUGAAUGUUGAAUAUUUGUAGUUGCCUUUGCUGAAUUCUUUAGCAAUGAAGUCAACAUCCAUGAGCUGACUACCUCGCACAAGAUUUGCAACACUAUUAUGGAAGUACGUUCUUGACAAGGUCAAAGUGGAAUAUGUUAGCGAUAUCGAUGAUCUACUAAAAGUGAAGAGUUAUUUCACUCUAUAACAACAAGAUGACUUGGUUCAUAUAGAUUAGUGAUUAUGUAUUGAUUCACAUACAACUUUUGAUGUUUUUAUUGUUUUUAAGAUACAUUAACUAAUAUUUUGGAGGGUUUGUUACUUUUCAAGAUACAUUUUCUCAAGUUUUAUAGUUUAUUGUAACAAAGUUAUUUAUUUUGAAUAUUAUUUUUUUA